AUUUAAAUAAUUUAAUAAAAAUUUUGAUUUGUGGGAUCAAAUUUAUAUAAUUCAUUCUAUAUUUUAAAUA
rnacentral:tRNA from 1 species